AAAAUGAUGACCUCUGAAGACAUUCAGUGAAGAUAAACACCUGUGCAGUUUGCUAUGAUUCAGGCAUUCAAAACACUUGGAUAGGAACAAUACCUACGAAGGCAAGGGAAUUGCCUAGUUUAGUUAAGUACCACUGAUAGCCCAUAGAGGAAUAAUAAGAAACUAAGAUGUGAGGGACAGUGUGAAAACAGAGAAAUGUGAGAAACAGAGGGCCUUUUGGUGACAGCUCACAAGGCAGCAGUUGUCUCCUGCAGAAAGAGAGCUGUUGCAGCUCAGCUCCAGAUCCAAUAUCUGACAGUUAUAGUUGCAGAUCUCCAGGCUUCAGCCUAGGGAGUCUCUUAUGCUCUCAUGAGUGCCCUGGUGGAGAACACCUAAAAUUGUAAAAUCUACAAUGGAUAUAUUAUGAAAGUUAAGCAAAUCUAACCGAUGAUUAUGUUCCCAAGGUGGUCCCAGAGGACACACCAUCCACCAAUACCAUCAGUAAUUGGCUAUGAGAGGCAUACCAGCAUCAUAAGUCCAAUAGUCGCUCACUCUUCAGCGGGCUGGGGUUGAUGGUUGUAGACAUGGCCACAGAUCUGGUCAUAUUAAUAACAGAAGAGGUAUGGAGCCCUAAAAUCAUAGAGGUCAAGCUUUGAUACAUUACUUCUGGAAGUCAGAGAACACAAUUACUCUAACAAGCAAUGUUGGAGUGGCAGCCAAACAGUAUUAAGCUGUAAGAAAUUGCAGAGAUGGUUAGUAAAGCACGGGGCCAGAGAGUAUAGUUUACAAAUGUGCUGCUGAACAUCUAGAGCCAGAAAAAGGUAAGAAUGUGGAAUCAGAAUACCAGGUGGUUUGCUGCCCCAAAAUCAUAAUCUCUUGUUCGGUUCAGAAACAUAAUUAAGUAAUAUCCAGCUUUUGCCCAGCUGUAUUUCAGAAUUGCUCUCAUGUUUCCCAUUUCUGAACAGGAAUAGCUGUGGUUGUCUUCCUAUGCUUGUUCUACUAUGGUAUCUGGGGAGUAGAGAGAAAAUAACCUGUCUCUUUAGCUUCACAGAUUUAUAUAUCAAGAGAAACUACCCAAGGAGACUCAUCCACACUUGGAAGAGAUUUAGACAAUGAGAUUCUGGACCGUGAGCAGAUGAGAUAAGACUUUUGAGGAUGUUGGGAGGAGGUGGAUGUAUUUUGUGCAUGGAAAGGAUGUGAACAGCUAGAGGUCAGAAUGUGGACUACCAUGAAAGGCUCUAACGUGAACCCAAAUUUUACUUUUAUCUGAUGGUCACAACUUGUGUAAUCCUCUCCACUGGAGUGUGCAAAGAACUCAUAAUGGUUACCUUGCUUCUAACUAAUAUAAUAAAUACUUCAGUGAUUACAUACAUAAGAUUAUAAAGUGUCUUGCAGGCAACCUCUUUCUUUUUUGCAGGAUUUGUUGAAGGCAGCUACUAUGUUUUGACCUGUCUUAGGGAGACACCAACAUGAGAAGAGAAUGAAGGAGGCUUCCCUUCAACAGCCAGCGAGAAAAAGAGAUUCUCAGGAAUUUAAACAACAAAGAAAGAAGUUUACCAACUAUCACAUGUGCUUGGAAGUGGAGCCUUGCUCAAUUGAGAUUUGAGAUAAGACAACAGCCCAGGCUAACACCUUGUUUGCAGCCUUUUGAGACCUGAAAUAAGACCCACUCGUCUCCAUUUACCUGUGAGCCCCAUCCCUAGAAGCAGACAUCCAAAGCCCCAGAAAAGAUGGGCUUAUUUCCUGCUCUGUCCCAAGGGCAAAGCUUCCGAGGAGAAGAGCAGCUCAUUGUGAUGAAGUAGCUGCUGCGCUUGAUUGUUACUAGGCAAAAAUAUUGUUUCAAUAUUGUCCUGUUAUCUAAUAAACUUCUCAUGGAAAAGGAGACUGAGAUGCCAACUUUAUUUUUCAAAAAUAUUGUAAGAAAAGCCCCACAUGGCUCUGAAGGGGAU
rnacentral:lncRNA from 10 species